AUUUGUCCCACUUGAUUCUCCAAAGUCAGAAUUGAAGCUUGCUAGUUUCUAAGAGUAGUCUCAAUAGUCUGAAACCUUGUUUUGGAUGUCGAGAUGAACUUCUCCAUCAUCUCUUCUAGAUUACUCCUUCUAGGAGGAGCCUACUACUGGUUUGGUGCUGAAAUCCUGAGGGUUGAGGUCUUUGCUGAUUUUGAUUCCUCUAUUAGAAAAUCGGGUGAUUUCUCC
rnacentral:lncRNA from 1 species